AAAGAAUUAAUUGCAACUAAUACCCCAAAAUUUCAAAAAAUUACAAAUUAGUAAUAAAUAUAGGAGUUAAUAGCCCAAAUGGUUACUAAACUUUGCCAAAGGUCCAAAAAGGUCAUUGAACUUUUUUAAAUACAAAAAGAAAAAAAAAACCAAAAAAACCAACAAAAAAAUUGAAGAAACGGGCCCCACCAACAAAAAAAGGACCAAAAAUAAUAAUAAUAA
rnacentral:lncRNA from 1 species